GUAAUUAGUACUUUAAAAGAACUCCCAACCCGACCACACAUUGUCGGGUCAUUGUUGCUUUUUGCUGCUGUCAUGUUUGUUUGUUUGUUUGUCAUGUUUCUUUUUGAGCUUCAGUCAUGGUUUUUGUUUGCUACUUUGGACUUUGUUUGCUUAGGAUUUAGUUUUCUGUGUUUUAUCAAUACACUUCUUCAAAUACA